rnacentral:rRNA from 1 species
AACGUAGGUUCCGAGCGUUAUCCGGAUUUACUGGGCGUAAAGCGCGUUCAGGCGGUUUGGCAAGUCGGGCAUGAAAUCUCUCGGCUCAACCGGGAGAGGUUGUCCGAUACUUCCAGACUUGAGGGCAGUAGAGGGUGGUGGAAUUCCGGGUGUAGUGGUGAAAUGCGUAGAUAUCCGGAGGAACACCAGUGGCGAAAGCGGCCACCUGGACUGCACCUGACGCUGGACACGGCGAAAAGCUAGGGGGAGCGAAACGGG